GACGAAGGGGGCUAGCGUUGUUCGGAAUUACUGGGCGUAAAGCGCGCGUAGGCGGUCUUUCAAGUCAGGAGUGAAAGCCCCGGGCUCAACCCGGGAAUAGCUCUUGAUACUGUUGGACUUGAGUCCGGGAGAGGAUAGUGGAAUUCCCAGUGUAGAGGUGAAAUUCGUAGAUAUUGGGAAGAACACCAGUGGCGAAGGCGGCUAUCUGGACCGGUACUGACGCUGAGGCGCGAAAGCCAGGGGAGCGAACGGG
rnacentral:rRNA from 1 species